GUGUUGAUAAUAGAGAAAAGAAAGAAAUUGUGCAGUGAUUUUAACAUACACUUUUGAUCUGUAUUUGAAUGUUGUGGUUAACAACAAUUAGUUACAGUGUGUUUCUCUCACAAAGCCCGUGGAGUUGGAGCUGGAACUGAACUUGGAAAGGGGAGAACACGAGAUUAUACGUACUGUAUUUUGAUUAAUUUUUCAUCUCACCGGGGAUCACGUGCCAUUAAUUUUUGCGUCGUGUAUUCGUCUGAAGACCACUAAGCAUCCGUUUCUGCUUUUGAAUCUUACUGUACGACUUUCCUUUAGUGUAAACUUCAUUCAGCUUUUUUGUUAUGUUAUUCUCUCAUAUCUCCUUGUGUCAAUUUGAAUCAAAGAGAGUUGGUAGGUAGGUGGCAACUGUGUACUGAUGAAUGUCGUAGUCCCUUCUGUAUAAGUACUGGACCUUAUAGUUACAGAAAUUGAGGCCGCAAUGACAGUAGAAUUGAAUCAGCUGGGAGAUGCUCUGCCUGCAUUGCAGUCUUCUUCAGUUGCAAGGCAAUUGGGGCAGCAGUGUAGCAGUAGCUUAAUAACCAGGUUAUGUGACGGCACACAGACAUUUUUUGUCAUCGAUUACUACAUUCCCUCAUUUGUGAUAAGUUUUGAUACAUCAAGAGCUGGUAUUUCAUGAUUUGCCUGAGGUGAAACAUCAAUUUUGAAGAUGAAAUUUGUGGUAUCGUAAUGGAGCAAGCAAUGGGGAACAUAGCAGCACACUGAACAAAAACAUAUGCAGAUGAUGAUUGACGACAUCCUGUGUUUUGCAAAUUCCAGUCUCAAUACAUCACAUAUGAAUAACACAGUUGUUUUGUGUAAGCGCUACUCAAAGGUGAAGAGGAAGUUGUGGUGGGAUGCAUCAAACCAGUCAGAACAACGCUUAUGAAAUUUUCAUUACUUCCUCUUACAAGCGUUGUACGCCCCUUUUUGUGCUACAGACAACCCUAAAGUGGUGUACUGAAUGUCAUUUUUCUUUCUGGCAUCGUAAUUAUGUACCUCAUUGUUCAUUUUGAGCUGUGGUGUAUUAUGAACAACAAACGUAAUGAGGGAAUAAAUAUACUGUGAAGCAGUAGUCAGAAUGCUCAACUCUUUUAACAGAUGUCUACAAGAUGAUCAUGGUGACAGCAGUGUUCGUCAAGUCUUUUGGUACAGUGAGAGUUUCUUCUGGAUGUGGAACACGCGUAGCUUGCACUCACCUGAAGGCGCAGCUUCGACAUUACCAGAAGGCUUGGAUGUGGUGCCAGGGCUGUGGAAAGCUCUACACUGCACAGCUCUUUGCUAAGUCAUUAGUCAAAAAUUCACACACUGUGGCUAGUCUCUUAUUGACUACUAUUCUUGUUGUGACCAUCCAUAUCUUUAACUUGAAGAGUCAGGAGUGUUCUGAAACAGGUUAAAUUAAAUGUGCUUUUUCACGUAUUUGUAGACUAUUUACAGUAAAACAGGCACAUUCCAUGUGAGAAAGUUUUGACAUUGACUAAGUUCUGACAGUAAAUGAAAGGAAUGUGGAUGUAGAUCUCCUCUUUCAUGUCAUGUUAUAGCUCAUGCCCAGUAAUGAUUUUAGAAGAUGCUUGAGAAAUAUUUGAUAUUUUUAACAUAAAUUAAUUUUUUAUGGACCAACAUUUGUUUAAUGAAUGUUUCUAUCAAUUGAAAUGUCUUUCACAUGGUGAAAAUGAACUUAUCUAAUCACCCAGAUGUGUUGACUUUGUUAACAAGGCAUCAUUAAUGGCUGUCAUGGUAUGUUACAUUAUGUUGGUUACCAGAUGUUGAUUUAGGUUUAAAAUAUUUUACACACAAGUUUUGCCAUAAAACGCAACGGUUAUCCACUUUUCUGUUCUUUUGCAUAUUAUUCAUAUGUUGGUCAAAAUUUCUGUUUUUCACUAAAUUCUUUCGCUAUGUUGGGAUGUCGUAACUGAUGCAAAUUAUAUAUCUGUUGUUCAGAAUUGCCCACACCAAGAAACUUGAAUUAUUUGUGCUGUGUUGGUAUUGACAGCAUUGUGCCCUAGUGUGCAAGUGGUUUUAUUGUGGUAUUUUAGUGUGUAAAGAAAGUUUUAGCAGUAGUGUUAGCAAAUGGACAGGCCUGAAGAGUUUUUAAUAUGCAUGCUUCAAACUUGUCAGAUCUUUAGAAAUUAAAGUAAAUCUUCAGAAAGAUA